AGUGAACGCUGGCGGUAGGCCUAACACAUGCAAGUCGAACGGCAGCACAGUAAGAGCUUGCUCUUACGGGUGGCGAGUGGCGGACGGGUGAGGAAUACAUCGGAAUCUACUUUUUCGUGGGGAAUAACGUAGGGAAACUUACGCUAAUACCGCAUACGACCUACGUGUGAAAUCAAGGGAUCUUCUGACUUUGCGCGAUUGAAUGAGCCGAUGUCGGGUUAGCUAGGUGGCGGGGUAAAGGCCCACCAAGGCGACGAUGCGUAGCUGGUCUGAGAGGAUGAACCGCACCACUGGAACUGAGACACGGUCCAGACUCCUACGGGAGGCAGCAGUGGGGACUAUUGGACAAUGGGCGGAAGCCUGAUCCAGCCAUACCGCGUGGAUGAAGAAGGCCUUCGGGUUGUAAAACCCUUUUGUUGGGAAAGAAAAGCAGCAGGUUAAUACCCCGCUGUUCUGACGGUACCCAAAGAAUAAGCACCGGCUAACUUCGUG
rnacentral:rRNA from 1 species